GAUGAACGCUGGCGGCGUGCCUAAUACAUGCCAGUCGAGCGAACAGACGAGGAGCUUGCUCCUCUGACGUUAGCGGCGGACGGGUGAGUAACACGUGGAUAACCUACCUAUAAGACUGGGAUAACUUCGGGAAACCGGAGCUAAUACCGGAUAAUAUAUUGAACCGCAUGGUUCAAUAGUGAAAGACGGUUUUGCUGUCACUUAUAGAUGGAUCCGCGCCGCAUUAGCUAGUUGGUAAGGUAACGGCUUACCAAGGCAACGAUGCGUAGCCGACCUGAGAGGGGGAUCGGCCACACUGGAACUGAGACACGGUCCAGACUACUACGGGGCGCAGCAGUAGGGAAUCGUCCGCAAUGGGCGAAAGCCUGACGGAGCAACGCCGCGUGAGUGAUGAAGGUCUUCGGAUCGUAAAACUCUGUUAUUAGGGAAGAACAAAUGUGUAAGUAAAUAUGCACGUCUUGACGGUACCUAAUCAGAAAGCAACGGCUAACUACGUG
rnacentral:rRNA from 1 species